UACGGAGGGUGCGAGCGUUGUCCGGAAUCACUGGGCGUAAAGGGCGCGUAGGCGGCCUGGCAAGUCGAUGGUGAAAGCCCGAGGCUCAACUUCGGGUCGGCCACUGAUACUGCUGGGCUUGAGUCGACUAGAGGCAGAUGGAAUUCCGGGUGUAGCGGUGGAAUGCGUAGAGAUCCGAAAGAACACCGGUGGCGAAGGCGGUCUGCUGGGGUCGAACUGACGCUGAGGCGCGACAGCGUGGGGAGCAAACAGG
rnacentral:rRNA from 1 species